rnacentral:rRNA from 1 species
UGGGGAAUAUUGGGCAAUGGGCGAAAGCCUGACCCAGCAACGCCGCGUGAGGGAAGAAGGUUUUCGGAUUGUAAACCUCUGUCCUUGGGGACGAAAAAAAUGACGGUACCCAAGGAGGAAGCCCCGGCUAACUACGUGCCAGCAGCCGCGGUAAUACGUAGGGGGCGAGCGUUGUCCGGAAUUACUGGGCGUAAAGGGUGCGUAGGCGGUUAUUUAAGUCAGAUGUGAAAUCCCCGGGCUCAACUCGGGUAUUGCAUUUGAGACUGGGUAACUAGAGUGCAGGAGAGGGAAGCGGAAUUCCUAGUGUAGCGGUGAAAUGCGUAGAUAUUAGGAGGAACACCAGUGGCGAAGGCGGCUUUCUGGACUGUAACUGACGCUGAGGCACGAAAGCGUGGGGAGCAAACAG